rnacentral:misc_RNA from 1 species
GUGGAAGCUGGCUUGCCUGCGAUAGUAUCACCUCGGUCUAACUGAAUGACCGAGGUGUCUGUAUCGCAGGCAAGCCAGCUCCCAC